rnacentral:rRNA from 1 species
ACGGAAGGCAGCAGUGGGGAAUAUUGCGCAAUGGGGGAAACCCUGACGCAGCGACGCCGCGUGAAGGAAGAAGGUUUUCGGAUCGUAAACUUUUGUCUUUGGGGACGAGAACGGACGGUACCCAAGGAGGAAGCCACGGCUAACUACGUGCCAGCAGCCGCGGUAAUACGUAGGUGGCGAGCGUUGUCCGGAUUUACUGGGUGUAAAGGGCGUGUAGGCGGGCACGCAAGUUGGGUGUGAAAUACCGGGGCUUAACCCCGGGGCUGCACUCAAAACUGCGAGUCUUGAGUGCCGGAGAGGAAAGCGGAAUUCCUAGUGUAGCGGUGAAAUGCGUAGAUAUUAGGAGGAACACCGGUGGCGAAGGCGGCUUUCUGGACGGUAACUGACGCUGAGGCGCGAAAGCGUGGGGAGCAAACAGGAUUAGAUACCCUGGUA